CUUUGUGACAUAAUUUCAAAUUCGACAAUCUGUCCUGAUUUCGAGCCCUGACAUGUGACAUCCAAAACAAAUAAAAAUGAAUUGAUAAUACUCCUAAAUCUCUGUAAAACCAUAAAAUGAAUUCGAAUCACUCAAAUAUCCCGCGGCAAAUCGAAUUACAAAAUAGUUUCAUGUCUGCACAAACGAAGGACUUCAUACAAAGAAUAUGUUUCCAGCCUAGUUCUUCACUGGAUAUGAGAAGUCAUGGUUUCAUCAGCGACAGUCACCCAUUAAAGUUGUUUAUAAAACCACUUCGCAAUCAGUUGGAAAAUAUUCUUGGGAAAGGUCAGGAAAACCACAAUGAGGUCCCACAACCAGUUCAAAGAAAGAAAGUAACUAUUGGUGACGAAAAACCAAAAAGAAAGCGAACAAAAAAAACGAAAAAAAUGGCCAUCGACAAACGGACUAAAUUGUCAACUUAAAAGGUUUAAUGUUAAUA